rnacentral:rRNA from 1 species
AACGAACGCUGGCGGAAGGCUUAACACAUGCAAGUCGAGCGCCCCGCAAGGGGAGCGGCAGACGGGUGAGUAACGCGUGGGAACGUACCUUUUGGUUCGGAACAACUCCGGGAAACUGGAGCUAAUACCGGAUAAGCCCUAACGGGGAAAGAUUUAUCGCCGAAAGAUCGGCCCGCGUCUGAUUAGCUAGUUGGUGAGGUAACGGCUCACCAAGGCGACGAUCAGUAGCUGGUCUGAGAGGAUGAUCAGCCACACUGGGACUGAGACACGGCCCAGACUCCUACGGGAGGCAGCAGUGGGGAAUAUUGGACAAUGGGCGCAAGCCUGAUCCAGCCAUGCCGCGUGAGUGAUGAAGGCCUUAGGGUUGUAAAGCUCUUUUGUCCGGGAAGAUAAUGACUGUACCGGAAGAAUAAGCCCCGGCUAACUUCGUG